CUUACAUCGGAAUCUCAUUACUUGGGUGGGACUGCCAAGAUGAAUAGACAUAAUCCUCGAUCUAACCACUUCACAGUUUAUCAUCGGAGUCAAGUUUGCAGAUAAACAAUUGCCAUGCAACUUUCAAGAGACGGGGUGUCAUCCUGUUGCUCAGGCUGGUCUCAAACUCCUGGCCCUAAGUGAUCCUCCUGCCUCAGCCUCUCAAAGUGCUGGGAUUACGGGUGUGAACCUAAUCGCAGAGAAAAUGGUGCCUGAGAUGAGCAAGGUCAGCAGACAAGAAGUGAGGUCAAUGUCAGGUUUCCAUGCCAGCAGCGGGAACUCUGGAUACAGUGGAGAGUCACAGCUGGUCAAACCCUGAACCGCUUGCUCCUUGAAAUGGCCAGAGAGGCCCAUCCCAGAGCCAUCUCAUCAUCUCUCCUCAGACAGGAAACCGAGAAGGAAAACAAUCAGCUCUGUUCUCUCUGGGCCGAGGGAGUGAGCUGUAAUGAGGGAGCACAGGAACGCAUUGGGCGCCCUCAGACCUGAACACACAGGUUAGCACCACCUGCCUGGCUGACCUGGCUCACAGGUGCGCGGUUGCCAGUUGAGAAUAACUCAUCCAGGGUUGUUGAAUGGUGGAGGAUCUUCCAAAAUCAGCAGCUAGGAGGUCGAGAACCCUUCAUGCCAUACUAAGAAGUUUCAUGCUAGGCAAAGAAGAGUGACAAGGUAUUUCAACAGGUGAAUGAUAGGUACACAAAGAAGGAUUACCACAGGAAAUCCAGAGAGGCUUUAGAAGACGAGCUUGCGUUGAGAUAGAAGCCGGAAGCCCACUUAGCCAACUGCCUCCAUGGGACUUGGCAUGAGGCAGGCUUAUGACAGUAAAUGCUACACUGCCCUCAGUGAAAAAGAGAAUUUGGCAUUCAUUCUUCUGAACCCGCCAUCCCUCAGCCUUGGCGCCUGGGAAUUCUGCGAAUCGUUGCCUGUGGCAGUGACACUGAUUUGUAUCUGGGUAUGAACUUAAAUGAAAACAUGAAUUGAACUCAUUACUUGAGGAAGGAAACACUGCCAAAUUUAACAGGAUGAAAUUCCAGCAGGGUGUAAGGUUUUAUGGGGCUACAGUGGAAUAUCUCAUAGAAAGGUUUCCAGUUCAUAAAACACUUUCAAAACAUGCUCGGCCCUUUUAAGUUGAAGGGACAUUAUCAUUUCUAUCUAUGGCAUUUCUCUGCAAAUUGAACUCAAAUAUCCUUUGGGCUGACUACACAGAGAACAGAAGAAAGAAGUGGAAGAAACUUGGACUGAAGAUUGCCUCCCUGAAAAGGUUUUCUUCAGGCAGAAUUAGGUGAGAACAAAUGACAUCAGAAAGUAGCAUGUCAGUAUACUGCUGCCAGCUCCAUAUGGUUCAGCUUGUUUUCACAGGUAUUUAAUUAAUUCCACAAACAUAUAUUGAGUAUCAGAUGUGGGAUCCUGUUCAACACAUUUGGGGUACAGUAGUCAAUUAGUCUACUCUCAUGGCACAUACAUGCUGGAAGGAGAGAAAAACAAUAAAUAAAUGAACAAAAGAUGCAGUAUCAGGUAGUGAUCAUUGCUAUCAAGAAAAAUAAAGCAAGAGAAAAUGGGAUAGAAGGUGUCAGGGGUGCGGGGUGACAUUUUACAUAGUGUGUUUGGCAAAGGCAAUUCUCAGGUGGUGACAUUUGAACAGAAGCUUGAAUGAAGUGACCUACAUGUUGAAUCCAGAAAGCUAAUUUUAUAUAUAUAUAUUUUUGGAAGGGGGCAGGAGAUAAUAAGCUAGUAAAAGGGUUGGGAAAUUAUUUUGAUUCAAGGAUGCCCAGUUUAAAAAACUGUAAGAGACAGCCCCUCUUUUUCUCCCAGUAUAGCGCUUUCGGUGGCCAUUUGAAUAGAGCUCUGCAUGUUUCCUUGGGAUUUUCUGGUGUUCAUGGCAUAACAACCAGCCAGCAGUCUUCUGGCUGGACCACGUUUUACUUGCUAGCAAGGAGCAGAAGCUGUGGAAAUUGGCAUGUAGAGAUGUAAAAGGAUUUUAUACUUUUCAGCCUGGGCAGAAAAUUAUAGAGAAAAGUAGGUGGGAGUCAGAAAAACAUGAAAUGAGAAAGAAAAGCAUAAUCUGAGUGAGUUCUCUCUCUUUUUUUUUUUGUUUUCUAUGUUUAUCUUUCCACAGCUUUUUCACUGGCUCUGUUAAAAAGCAAAUAUCACUGCAAACUUCAUUUCAUUUUCUCUCAACAGAUGAAAUAAAGCUUGUUAAAAUGUUUUUCCCUUCUGUCAGGUGCAAACUCCAUGUUAGCAGGUUUGAAAACUUUCACAUGUUCAGAUAGCAAUGGAGGUUUUAACUUGGCCAACAUCAACAAACAAACCAUGAGUCCCUCACGUGUGCAAUGCUUGCAUAGAAUGAAAUUGAGUAUGAGCAUGUUUGCCAACCCUACUACAAAUGGUUUAUUUAGAAUAGUAGAAUGUGAAAAAUACAGAUUUAUUUUUAAUAGCUAGUACCAUGAUGAUUAUUGAUUUUUUCUUCCAGAUUAUUAAUUUAAAUAGCAAAAUUAUGCUACAUGUUUAAAAUAUGUCUGUAUCCUGAAAGUACUUAUUGUAAGCUUAAGCCCAGUCUUAUUUCUAAAAAGAUAAUUUGUAGGAGGUAUAAUUUUCAUUUGUAUUCAUGUAUAUUAAUAUAUUUUUUGGUGUUACACUGUUGCAUGAGGAUAGCUGUAAGGUCAGGAUAUUUAGGAAACCUCUGAAUUGAACAUUGAGCUUGUGGAUCUAAUAUUUAAGUAACUGGUUUCUGUCUACGUACUCUUUUCUCUUCCGUGGUAAGCCCUGCAGGCAAGCUCACUUCUCUAUGUUCUCAGUUGUAAAUGAGGAAAGUAGGACGAGGUAUGGAGCUGGAGGGUAAAUGGCAGAAUAGAAGACAGAGUGCCAUUCUGCGUAAGAGCACCACCUUUUGUGUUUGGCAGGCUUGGUUUUAGUCCUGAUUUUUCCAGGUCCAAGUAUAAUCUGGAGCAUUUCUCAAAUUCACUAAACCUCAGUUUCACCUUCUGUAAAACGAAGCUAUUUCAUUGAGUUAUUUUGGGUUACAUAUGUAAAAUUUACAGCCAAAUACUUAACACUCAAGUCUGUCAAGAAACAAUUCCAAAUAUUUUAUAAUAAAUAUAUAAAAAACUUUCACAAUUCAUGGAAUUUACUUCUUGAUUAGUUGCCAUGGUCUAUGGUUAUAAUGAAAUGUACUCUUGGCAGUCCUGGAUAGAGAAGCUCUUGAACCACAACCACAACCAUUACCUUGGAGAUGUCGAAACUGCCCUUUUCCCCGAGACCAUCAUUAGUGCUUUCCACGAACCUGGAUGAUAACCUCACGUUCACCUUUCAAAGCCAAGAAUAACAAGAGAAUUGAAUGUAAUGAUAAUGUUUCUUCUUAAAAUUAUGCCAAAUCCGACUUAGUUGAUGUGAGUUCUGCUUUUUAAAUUAAAGAAAGUACAAAGUCUAUUUUGUGGGUUGGCUAAAAGGGCACUGGUUAAAGAAAACAAUGGUUAUUUGUUUCUGAUGUACAAAUGAUCCACACAGACACAUCUUUAGAUGAAACCCCAAAUUCUUUACUGGUUGGGUUCUACAAAGAGUGACAGUAGUAAUUUGGUGAAGCAGCAGGGGGCAGAGGACUCUUGGUGGUAAGUUAACUUGAUUCUACUUUGAAAACUCUG
rnacentral:lncRNA from 1 species